GCCGAGCGGUAGAGAUUCUUCGGAAUCUUGAGAGCGGCGUACGGGUGCGGAACACGUGUGCAACCUGCCUUUAUCUGGGGGAUAGCCUUUCGAAAGGAAGAUUAAUACCCCAUAAUAUAUUGACUGGCAUCAGUUGAUAUUGAAAACUCCGGUGGAUAGAGAUGGGCACGCGCAAGAUUAGAUAGUUGGUGAGGUAACGGCUCACCAAGUCUACGAUCUUUAGGGGGCCUGAGAGGGUGAUCCCCCACACUGGUACUGAGACACGGACCAGACUCCUACGGGAGGCAGCAGUGAGGAAUAUUGGACAAUGGGUGAGAGCCUGAUCCAGCCAUCCCGCGUGAAGGACGACGGCCCUAUGGGUUGUAAACUUCUUUUGUAUAGGGAUAAACCUACUCUCGUGAGAGUAGCUGAAGGUACUAUACGAAUAAGCACCGGCUAACUCCGUGCCAGCAGCCGCGGUAAUACGGAGGGUGCAAGCGUUAUCCGGAUUUAUUGGGUUUAAAGGGUCCGUAGGCGGAUCUGUAAGUCAGUGGUGAAAUCUCACAGCUUAACUGUGAAACUGCCAUUGAUACUGCAGGUCUUGAGUGUUGUUGAAGUAGCUGGAAUAAGUAGUGUAGCGGUGAAAUGCAUAGAUAUUACUUAGAACACCAAUU
rnacentral:rRNA from 1 species